GCUGGGUACCAUGGCGCAUGCCUGUAAUCACAGCGGCUGGGAGGCUGAGGCAGGAGGAUCAUGAGUUCAAAGCCAGCCUCAGCAACUUAGUGAGGCCCUAAGCAACUCAGUGAGACCCUGUCUCUA
rnacentral:sRNA from 1 species